GCAUUAAUGGGGUAGUGGUAACCUGGGUCGUUGCCAUUAAGUAUAGCGGUGUUUCGACCCGCCGGGGGUUCGAUUCCCUCUUAAUGCA